CCUUCUGAUGACAGAGAGGUGAUUCAGAGGGGUUAGUAUAGAACUGCUAGUGUAGGGACCUGCUCAGAUAUAGUCUCUCCUUCUGAUGACAGAAAGGUGAUUCAGAGAAGAUGGCUGAAGAUUCAGAGGGGUCGCUGUGGAUUCAGAGAGGAUGGCUGUGGAUUUAGAGAGGGUGGCUAUAGAUUCAGAGGGGUGGCUAUAGAUUCAGAGGGGUGGCUAUAGAUUCAGAGGGGUGGCUAUAGAUUCAGAGGGGUGGCUAUAGGUUCAGAGGGGUGGCUAUAGGUUCAGAGGGGUGGCUAUAGGUUCAGAGGG
ensembl:lncRNA